ensembl:lncRNA
AAUCAAAGCUAAACAUAGAAAGGAUGAAAACAAGCAUUGUCCAACAUGGGGUUCGGCGAUAUUUUGAUGUAAAAACAUUUAGGUGUACGAUCCAACCAUCAAAAACAGGCUCUUCUUAUCAUGUUUCCAAUGUACCCCGAGUUGCUACGCCCUCAUCAGCCACCAGGUGGCAGACUUGAUUUUGUCAGUAGAAGGAGCAAAAUAGCCAUCCAGCUUGAUUACAGCAAUAGUAGAGGAGCAGUCAAAAGAAUGCGUUUGAGCACCUUCAGCCAUUGGCUCUUGUUCAAGGACAUCCCGCUGAUUGGCUGAAGUCAGAUCUUAUUCUCUAGAAAGUUUGUUACAGAAGAAGCCCCUAGUAUCAAAGCAACAUACCCGCCAAACAAAACUAACCUUGUUGAAUAAAUGAAAAUGUCUUCAAGAUGGUCAAUCCAGUAUCUUACAGGUUCCACAUGGAGUCUCUAGUCGGCUGCGCUGCGGGCCUUAGGUCCGUCCUCUGCUCCGGGACGAGGUCUUGAGUAUAAAGAACCAGUCAGUCAUCAAGCUGCUUGGUCUCUUCAAAGAGGUGGAGGUUUGACCGCCUGCACCAUGAGGACGCUGUGGAUACGAUUGACCUGGAGAAAGAGCUUACCUUCCAUGGAUGAGGAGCUGGUUGGUCUAAUCACGAGCCGCCUUCGGACCUCCACCGCCGGAUCCCCCAGCCGUCCUCCACCGCCGGGACCGUCUCCUCCAGGACCUCCACCGGGCCAACCGCCUGGACCUCCGCAACGUCGCCUCAUUUCUUCUGAAAUGUGACACACGUUCUAUUUGCACCCCGGACAUUCCUCCCCGUUCAUGAUGCACUGGAGAAGAGCUUAGCUUUACUGGAUGAGGAGCCGCCUCCUCCGGGCCCUCCAGGACGCCGCCGCUGGGCCCUCCAGGCUGACCGCCGCCAGGUGGACGCCACCGCCGGGACCUCCAGGUUGGUCCCAACCACCGCCUCCAGGCCCUCCAGGUUGGUCUCCACCACCGCCUCCAGGCCCUCAGGUUGGUCCCAACCGCCACCUCCAGGCCCACCGACUCCAGGACGGCCUCCACCUCCAGGCCCGCCGUUGCCUCCAGGAUCUCG